UGUCAUGGUUCUGUGUCCGUCAUGCGUGCGUCCGUCCGUCCGUGCGUUAACUUUUUCUUUAAACAUCUUCUUCUCCUAAACUACUGGUCCAAUUCUGAUGAAAUUUCUCAGGAAAGUUCCUGGGGUGAACCUCUUCCAAAUUUGUUCAAAUUUUGCUCCUGGGGUCAAAUUUGACCCUGCCCUGGGGGGUCAAAAAUUUGAAAAUUUGCUUAUAUAAGGCCUAUUUUGUGAAAACUUUAAAAAUCUUCUUGUCCAUAACCAUUGGGCCUAGGGCUACCAAAUUUGGUAUGUAGUGACAUCUUAUAGUCCUCUACCAAGUUUUUUCAAAUUAUGCCCCUGGGGUCAAAUUUGACCCUGCCCCAGGGGGUCAAAAAAUUGAAAAUUUGCUUAUAUAAGGCCUAUUUUGUGAAAACUUUACAAAUGUUCUUGUCCAUAACCAUUGGGCCUAGGGCUACCAAAUUUGGUAUGUAGUGACAUCUUAUAGUCCUCUACCAAGUUUCUUCAAAUUAUGCCCCUGGGGUCAAAUUUGACCCUGCCCCGGGGGGUAAAAAAAUUGAAAAUUUGCUUAUAUAAGGCCUGUUUUGUGCAAACUUAAAAAAUCUUCUUGUCCAUAACCGUAUGGCAUAGGGCUACCAAAUUUGGUAUGUAAUGACAUCUAAUAGACCUCUACCAAGUUUGUUCAAAUUAAGCCCCUGGGAUCAAAUUUGACCGUUCCCCAGGGUCACAAAAUUGAAUAUAUGCUUAUAUAGGGCCCAUUUUGUGCAAACUUUAAAAAUCAUCUUGUCCAUAACUAUUGGGCCUAUUUCUACCAAAUUUGGUAUGUAGUGACAUCUAAUAGGUCUCUACUUAGUUUGUUCAAAUUAUGCCCCUGGGGACAAAUUUGACCCUGCCCUGGGGGUCACAAAAAUGAACAUAUGCUUAAAUAAGGCCUAUUUUGUGCAAACUUUAAAAAUCUUCUUGUUUAUAAUUAUAGAGCCUAGGGCUACUAAAUUUGGUAUGUAGUGAUAUCUAAUAGUCCUCUACCAAAUUUGUUCAUGACUCGCAGAUGACCCCUAUUGAUUUUCAGGUCACUAGGUCAAAGGUAAAGGUCACGGUGACCCGAAAUAGUUAAAUGGUUUCCGGAUGAUAACUCAAGAAGGCUUGAUCAUGAAACUUCAUAGGUACAUUGAUCAUGACUCGCAGAUGACCCCUAUUGAUUUUCAGGUCACUAGGUCAAAGGUCAAGGUCACGGUGAUCCAAAUUGUAAAAUGGGUUCCGGAUGUUAACUCAAGAACGCUUAUGCGUAGGAUCAUGAAACUUCAUAGGUACAUUGAUCAUGACUUGCAGAUGACCCCUAUUGAUUUGUAGGUCACUAGGUCAAAGAUCAAGGUCACGGUGACCUAAAAUAGUAAAAUGGUUUCUGGAUGAUAACUCAAGAAUGCUUAUGCCUAGGAUCAUGAAACUUCAUAGGUACAUUUAUCAUGACUAGCAGAUGACCCCUAUUGAUUUUCAGGUCACUAGGUCAAAGGUCAAGGUCACGGUGACUACACAGUAAAAUGGUUUCCGGAUGAUAACUCAAGAAAGCUAAUACGCCUAGGAUCAUGAAACUUCAUAGGUACAUUGAUCAUGACUCGCAGAUGACCCCUAUUGAUUUUUAGGUCACUUGGUCAAAGGUCAAGGUCACAGUGCCAAAUAACGUAUUCACACUACAACUGACAGCCCAUAUGGGGGGCAUGCAUGUUUUUACAAACAGCCUGUUAUAUUUUGAGAUGAUUCUUUACAAAGAAAGAUGCUACUAUUGUAUUUGUUAUAAAUGUGUGAAAGGCUCUUAAGAAGGAACCAGAGAUUAUUAACCCUUUACCAAACACUAACAGAAUUUUACAGGUUUGUAGCUGACGACUUUAUAAAUAAUUGUGAUAAAAGGAGAAAUUGCUCAAGAUGAGCAAUUUCUCCUUUUAUCACAAUUAUUUCUACUCUACCUGAUCAUUUCCUUCAGAUUCCAUUACAAUUUAAUUGUCUUCUGCAACCUCUUUCAAAUUGGGAAAGUCCAAAAUGUGUUGUUUGGUAAAAGGUUAAGGCAUUUUGAUUCAUAUGGGUCUUGUGAAUCUGUUUCAAAUCAAAUGCGUAGAUUUGAUCUUGAGCAUCUAAAAAUAUAUGAAAUAGAAAGAACGACAAUAUCUUUUGGAGAGAUAAAUGUACCUACGUUAUAAGCAAAGGACCUGUGCAACAAUUCCCAGGCUUUUUAGUCUGUUUAGUUAACAUGGUAGUAACUUUUUCCAUAUAUAAAAAUGCUCACCCUACCCUUCCAACUUUAAGCGCCCAGUGGGACGAGGGAUAGAAAGAGAAAGUCACAUGCUUGAGUACAUUUCGCAUAAAAAAACAGUGGAGCGAUACAGGGCCAUCAUGGCCCUCUUGUCUUGUGUAUAUAAUGCCCUUAAUUAACAUGACAUUUGAUGCUUUUUUGGAGCAUAAAUGAUUUGUUAAUCUCAAAAUGGUAUAUUAAGUUCGUCUGUUGUUUUAUUCACAUACUGCAAAUUUAUCUUGAUUAAAAAUGGCAUAAUAAAAAAAUA